AUGGCGUCCACCAAGGUGCAGCGGAUCAUGACCCAGCCCGUCAACCCCAUCUUCCGCUUCCUCCAGAGCAAGGCGUGCAUCCAGAUCUGGCUCUUCGAGCAGAAGGACAAGCAGAUCGAGGGCAGGAUCAUCCAUCUGCGGGAAACUUUGUUAAUUGGACGACACACUUGUUACACAAAGGAAGUUCUCUGA
rnacentral:rRNA from 1 species